UUGAAAAGAAAAAAAAGAAAAAGUAACAAAAAUAGCAAUCUUUUUUCUUCCUCUUCUUCGCUCCUCCUCUCAGACGGAGGACCAGGUGAAGCGUGGACUCCUUUUGGAUGUUGUAGUCGGCGAGAUUGCGUCCAUCCUCGAGCCGUUUCCCGGCGAAAAGGAGGCGCUGCUCCUCCGAUGGGAUCCCUUCUUUGUCUUCUAUCUCGAUUUGAUGUUCUCGUAUGUGUCAGAGGAACCGACCUGGAGGGUUAUCGUCUUCUCCGUUAGGGUUUUCAUGAAGAUCUGCGACGGGGAACAAACAGUAGAAACAGAAGAAAGAGAAAAAAAUCGAGAUAGAAUGUCUUGUUCAUUUCUGUAUUAAAAGAUAUCUUUGAGAAAGUGAAAAGAAGAUUUGAAAGACAACGAAACGGUAAAUGGAGACAGAAGCAGCGAGAAGUUAGAUAAAUCUAUGGAACAGAGGAUGGAAGGAGCAGAGAAGAAACAGAGACAGAUGAUGUCUUUGACGGAGAAACAGAAACAGAGACAGUUAAACAAUGAUCAUGAGGCAAAAUCAUGAUUUAGUCAUUGGUGCUAUUGAAGAUGUAGGGUGAUAUUCAAGAACUUGAAAGCCAGUAGGCCCAGUACAUUGCACGGAAAUCCGAAGGCUCUUUCAAUAUCAUUCCCGUGUUGAACCCUCUCUCAAACUUCAGAACAAAGCUGAGAGUUGAAUAAUGAUGAAAGACAUGACCCAAAAUCAAACAAAAGCUUUCGAGUACACAGAUAAGUCUCGUACUAUGGAUUUAUUUGAUUGAGUUAACAAUGAGAAACAGUAUAUGUUUUACAUUGUAGUGAGCUGACUUAAUUAAGUAUACAAAUCAUGUACAGGUGGUGCAUUUAGGAUUGCUUACAUUGUGAGCACCAAGAUAAACAUCUUUUGGAAAGUCUGAGACAGCAGCUCCGAGAAGUUACAUAAAUAAAAUCUACGGAACAGAGGAUUGAAGGAGCAGAGAAGAAGCGAUUCAGAGUCCUUCUCUUGAAGUGUCGUUGUUGUUGACAGCAGCCGUUUGCAUGAGCAAGUUGAAUGAGAUAAUGCUCAGUCAGUGAUAUUUUGCAGGAACAUCUUAAGCCUUCUGACAUAUCACAAAGAGUCCGAAGACGAUGUGAAUUCACAACUAACUACAGAUUACAUUCCUUUAUGAAGUAUCUAUCUACAAUAAACAGAUAAGUUUCCGAACAUUGCUUUAUUUGUUUGGGUUAUACAUGAGAAUAGGUAUAUGUUUUAUACUUAGUGAGUUGACUUAAUAGAUACAAUUCAUGUACAGGUCUUCAUUAAAAGAAUUAGAGAAAGAAGCUUUAUACAUUUGAAGGACAUGGGACACAGACAUGACUGCCCAAAAAUAGAAACCAAUGUACUUGAUCGGAAAAGCAAGGUUGAGUUAAAAGAAAAGAUCAAACCUUGGCCAGAACAGAAUGGGAAUAUUUUUAAUAUAUAAAGGCUUUGCUUUAUGGCCCUGUAUAGACAAAGAAUAAUAUAGGAGGGACAAAGCCAAUUAUUUGCAGACAUAGUUGCCCACUCGUCAAAUUGUGAUAAGAUAAAUAAUGAGAAGUUACAUAAAAUCUAUGCAAGCGACUUUUGAAGGAGCAGAAAAGAAACCGAGACAGAUGAGACCAGAUAAGUUUUCUACUAUAGCUUUAUUUUUGGAGGUUGUACAUGAGAAUACAUAUAUGUUUAAUACUGAGUCGAUUUAAUAGAUACAAAUCAUGUACAGGUGUUCAUUAAAAGGUUUCGAGAAAUAAGCUUUAUACAUUUGAAGGACAUGGGACAGUAGAGACAUGGCUGCGCAAAAAUAGAAACCCAAAAGGUGUUGAACGAUUCAAAGGCAAGGUACUUGGAGUAGGAAAGCUAUUGGUAAUAUCAGAUAAAAUCCCUGAUUUCGCAGAUCGUUUCUUACUGGAAGUAGACAGUGUAGGGAAAGUGUCAACAAAGACAGGCAAAGUACACAAUAUUAUGGUGAUGUUCGAGAGUCAUUAGAGACAUAAGCAGUUACUAAAUUCAAGGACAUGGGAAUGAGAGAUGGUCUGAAAAGCAAUAAGAGCCGAAGCAGAAUGGAGGAUAUCGCAGAGGUUUCCCCAUACGCAGCAUGGUAUUCUUGAAUCACUAUGGCGCAAGUCAGAAGCCCAGGGGUUAUUGGUUGUGCGGUAAGCUCCUCCUGCAGGCCUAACAUGAAAGUUGCGGAUGUUGCGCCACACUCCAACCAGAAGAUCACUGGCUUUACUCUCAAUGUAUAGGAUUUGAAAAAGUUUUGCAAGACAAACAUUUGAAGGAGAAGAGAUUCAAGGUAAAUGAGAUGAUAUAUUUGGUGAUGGGCUGGGAUUAGAAUUAGUAUGGGCUGGGGUAUUUAAUUGAAUAAGCAGAUGAUAUAUUUUGUGAUGGGCUUGUUUAGAUUUCAUUGGAAUUAUGUUUUGGGCUUUGUAAAUGGACGAUUUUUUUUUUAAAAAAAGAAAGGAAGGCAGUGGCA